rnacentral:tRNA from 1 species
ACUCCUGUAUCCCAAUGGGCAGAGGAAGCGGUCUUAAAAACCGCUAAGUGCUGGUUCGAAUCCAGUCAGGAGUACCA